rnacentral:misc_RNA from 1 species
AUGAGAUCGUAGAACUGCCCGUGAAUAUCGCCGCAAACGGUUACGGGACAUUUCACCGGCUGCACGUUCCACUCCUCGACAAGAAUCGCCCUGGCUUGAUCACAUAGCGCCUUGACCUCAGCCUCCGGCAACGACUUGCACUCCAUGAGGUGCUCGAUCUGACGGUCCAGAUCCCCUUGCGACGGCAUCCUCUCCGGUACAAAGAUCGUACGGUCAACAACAAUAUUCUCAAUUCAAAUCAGAAUAUAAACGUAAAAGCUUCCAGGACUAACGAUCUGUGGAAACGUUUGAGUUUGCAAAACGAAUCGUUUUUGGAGAUCUCUCUAUCAUUCCUCUCUCUCUCCCUCUAUGCUUUUGUGUUUUCUUCUCUGCGAAAUGAGAAAUUUUCGAAAUAAAAUUUAGUAUUGGAGUGUUUUUGUUGGGUUGUA